UUAUGACCAUAUCAUGUUGAAACAUCAGUUCCCAUACGAUCACCAAAGUUAAGCAAUGUUGAGCCUGAUCAGUACCUAAAUGGGGGACCACUUGUGAAUACCAGUUGC